rfam:Beet soil-borne virus 19K and 104K protein genes, complete cds.
GGUGCUUUUAUGUUCACCGAAAUCGAACAUAC